rnacentral:lncRNA from 1 species
AUUGCAUGUAGUAGUGAUGUUGCUAUUGUGUUCUCUCUCAGGAAAUUAAAAAGGUCCAACUGAAGGACUGAUGUCUCCUGCAGAGAUUGUACCAUUCCAGAAGGCAUAGGAAUCCCAAGUGAAGCGAGAUGAAGCUGAUUGAAAAGAGACCAUUCAAGGGAAAGUGAAAUGGCAAACAAUGUGAUCUACUGAAAAAGUAUGCUGAAAUGGCUACCUCAGAAGCAAUUUAAAUACAGAGACAAGAACAGGGACUUCAAAGACGGAAUCUCUUCUCAUCUGAUGAAAGUGUUCUACAGGAAACCUGAUGAUUCAAACAAAGGAAACACUGUCCUUGCUUCACUGACCUCAGAGUGUCUAGAGUAAACCAGACAUCUCAAUUUUAGACUAUGAAUGU